UGCAAGUCGAGCGGUAACAGGAAUUAGCUUGCUAAUUUGCUGACGAGCGGCGGACGGGUGAGUAACGCGUAGGAAUCUGCCUGGUAGUGGGGGACAACAUGUGGAAACGCAUGCUAAUACCGCAUACGCCCUACGGGGGAAAGGAGGGGAUCUUCGGACCUUUCGCUAUCAGAUGAGCCUGCGUGAGAUUAGCUAGUUGGUGGGGUAAAGGCUCACCAAGGCGACGAUCUCUAGCUGGUCUGAGAGGAUGAUCAGCCACACUGGGACUGAGACACGGCCCAGACUCCUACGGGAGGCAGCAGUGGGGAAUAUUGGACAAUGGGGGCAACCCUGAUCCAGCCAUGCCGCGUGUGUGAAGAAGGCCUUAGGGUUGUAAAGCACUUUCAGGAGUGAGGAAGGGUGUACGGUCAAUACCCGUAUAUUUUGACGUUAACUCCAGAAGAAGCACCGGCUAACUCUGUGCCAGCAGCCGCGGUAAUACAGAGGGUGCGAGCGUUAAUCGGAAUUACUGGGCGUAAAGCGCGCGUAGGCGGUUUGUUAAGUCGGAUGUGAAAUCCCAGGGCUCAACCUUGGAAUGGCACCCGAUACUGGCAGGCUAGAGUACGGUAGAGGGGUGUGGAAUUUCCUGUGUAGCGGUGAAAUGCGUAGAUAUAGGAAGGAACAUCAGUGGCGAAGGCGACACUCUGGACCGAUACUGACGCUGANGUGCGAAAGCGUGGGGAGCAAACAGGAUUAGAUACCCUGGUAGUCCACGCCGUAAACGAUGUCUACUAGCCGUUGGGAAUUUUAUUUUUAGUGGCGCAGCUAACGCGAUAAGU
rnacentral:rRNA from 1 species